UCUCUUCAAACACACAAAACUCUAAAACCAUUGAAACUUCUCUUACUCUCUCCGGCUCAGCUUAGGGUUUGUCUUUGCUUUCCUUUUCUGUUAGAUCCAGUUUCUCUUCAUUUUCAAGAACAUAAAAACAUGUUAUUGUCAUCUGCCUAAUUAAUUUCUUCAAUAAUCUGGUUCAGGAAAGAGUUGUAUUUCGUCAAAAUUCUUCAAAAAGCUCUCGGAAGGGUCGAGAUCCAACACCAAGUGAGGUACAUUUGCAUGUCCAUACACACGGUCAUGAUGGAAAAUCUUUUGUUGGUGAGUAAGCCCGAAUCAUGCAUG